ensembl:lncRNA
UAGUGACGUUACUGCCACCCCCAGUUAAAUACACUGGCCUCUAUCUCAGACUCACCUGUUCUGGGAAGGUUCCUUUUGACUCUCAUCCACUCAAAAGUUUUCGUGUCACCGUAAACAUCCUGAGAGAGGUCCCCUCUAUCUUCUGGCACCACCAGAGAGUUACAGCUGGGGGGGUCCUGGCUACAGGCGUGGUACCGAUCCACUCCCCGACCCCCGGAGCGGGGUCCAAUAAGUCUCUCUCUGGGCAAACACACAAGAGGGAUGAUAGGAAACAGUUUCUACAGCAGAUCUCUCUCUGGGCUGCGAGAAAUGGACAUGACUUCAUCCCUCCCCCCAGCCCACCCCACCAGACCCUCCUGGAAUAUCUGCUGGGAUGCUCAAGAAAGAAUGCAAAGGAAGAAAGAUCCAGCUCUAACGAUCCAGCACGUUGCAAUGAAAAACCUGUUCUCUUGCGUUUAGGAAGAAUCAUAUCUGGGCUUGUUUUGAAGACCAGGCGGUGGCAAAGCUGUAAACAAGGAGGGGGAAGGAAGAAAAAAAACACCCUAGUCUCUGCAUCACUUAAUACAUCAAGGAGUCUUUUUUAAAAACCCAGGUUAUGGGAGAGAGAUUCCUACCAAGUCCGCAACUUUUCCUAAAAUGCUCGUGUUAUGGGUUGUGUCCGUGUCUGUGUUAUUUCUUUGCCCACGCCUCAGUCAAGAGGACAGCGGCUGAACACACACACACACACACACACACGCACACAAAAGACUCUAUACAAAGCUAAGCAGAGUUCCAGCUCUUACAGCAAGAUGAUGAAGAAUGAUUGGAUUCAGAGCCCAAGCACAAGAGAGGGGGUGGGAAAAGAAAGUUUCGUUUUGGGGGAAAGAGAUGUUCCUCUCGCGCUGAUGCGAACUCUAACAAAGAAACAAUGAAGAUACUGCAUCCCAUGAGUUGAGCUAAGAAGCUAACUUUGUAUUAUUUCCCCUCCCCCGCCCCCGGUUCGGGUUCGACUCUGUUGAUUAAAUUAGUCUUGUGCCAGCGCAAAGAGUGCUUCUUGCUUGGAAGAAGAUGGUGACAUAAGAGGAAAUGCUUGUUUUAGAAAGGCAACAAUAUUUAUGAUUGCUGUGCUAAAGGUACUUGUAUAUGAUCGCUUUCUAGAGGAAAGGCCAGACAGUCUGGUAAAAUUUUUAUGUGAGUGUAUUUUUAAAAUAUAUUAAAUCUGGGCAGGAUUCGCUCCGGGGUGCUGUAUGUGUGUAUGUUGUGUGCAAUGAAGAUUACACACUUAAAGGAAAGGUACGGCUAUAUACUGUUCAUCUGUAGAAGAAGAUUUACUCUUGGAAGAAUAAUUUUGCCGCAGAUACUUUGGGUUGGGGAAAAGAAGGUUAGGCUGGGGGAGGGGGAAAUAUGCAUAUUAACCGUGUCCGAUUUAUUUGUGCAAAAAUAAUUCUAUUUUAAUCAAGAUUGUUUAAAAAAACGCUUUCCCCUAUAAUUAUGUGAUUUAAGCAUAUGAUUCAUUAAACAUACUGACGUUUUUGUUGGCUAGACACUGUAUUUCUUUAUGUCUGCAGGCCAAUCCGUGCCUGAAAGUUACCUUCGCUGUCGAGU